GACGAACGCUGGCGGCGUGCCUAAUACAUGCAAGUCGAGCGGAUCUGAUGGAGUGCUUGCACUCCUGAUGGUUAGCGGCGGACGGGUGAGUAACACGUAGGCAACCUGCCCGUAAGACUGGGAUAACUACCGGAAACGGUAGCUAAUACCGGAUAAUUUAUUUCUUCGCAUGAAGAGAUAAUGAAAGGUGGAGCAAUCUACCACUUACGGAUGGGCCUGCGGCGCAUUAGCUAGUUGGUGAGGUAAUGGCUCACCAAGGCGACGAUGCGUAGCCGACCUGAGAGGGUGAGCGGCCACACUGGGACUGAGACACGGCCCAGACUCCUACGGGAGGCAGCAGUAGGGAAUCUUCCGCAAUGGACGAAAGUCUGACGGAGCAACGCCGCGUGAGUGAUGAAGGUUUUCGGAUCGUAAAGCUCUGUUGCCAGGGAAGAACGUCCGGUAGAGUAACUGCUAUCGGAGUGACGGUACCUGAGAAGAAAGCCCCGGCUAACUACGUGCCAGCCGCCGCAGUAACAC
rnacentral:rRNA from 1 species